GACGAACGCUGGCGGCGUGCCUAAUACAUGCAAGUCGAACGCAGUGGGGACGGGUGAGUAACACGUGGGUAACCUCCCAUCAGAGGGGAUAACACUUGGAAACAGGUGCUAAACCGAUACUGAUGGAUGGCCCCGCGGUGCAUUAGCUAGUUGGUGAGGUAACGGCGCACCAAGGCCACGAGGCAUAGCCGAGCGGAGAGGGUGAUGGGCCACACUGGAACUGAGAAACGGCCCAGAGUCCUACGGGAGGCAGCAGUAGGGAAGCGUGGGCAAUGGACGAAAGGCUGACCGAGGAACGCCGCGUGAGUGAAGAAGGUUUUCGGAUCGUAAAGCUCUGUUGUUAGGGAGGCGGUAUCUAACCAGAAAGCAACGGCUAACUACGUGCCAGCAGCCGCGGUAAUUC
rnacentral:rRNA from 1 species